ensembl:lncRNA
CCGUAGCAGCUAUGUAACAAAAUACUCUGAAGUUUAGCAGCUUUGAAUAUUUAUCUUGCAUGGUUUCUAGAGGUUGGGAAUUCAGGAGUGGCUUGGUUGGGUGGUCCUGAUUCAGAAGGCUGCUGAGUGGAUGUCAAGCAUCCAGGGCUGGAGGAUCAGCUCCAGGCUCACUUGAAUGGUGAUUGGCAGGACUUGUUUCCUCCCAGGCUAUUGAAUUGAGGACCUCAGUGUGUUCCACCACCCAUGGAGACCUCUGGAUGUUUGAAACACAUAGGAGUCAGCUUGGCCCACGAUAAGUGAUCUAAGAAGGGCAGAAAGCCUAAACUAGAAGCUGCCAUUCUUUUUUUAUAACUUAAUUUCAUAAGUAGCAUGCUAUCCCUUCUGUAUGUUAUUGGUACCAAUCCUAAUAUAAAGAGGGAGGGGACCCCACAAACAUGAAGACCACUAGGUGCCAUCUUGCAAGUCGACUGCCAUGACUUCUUAGUCCUCCCACUCAGCUUUUGCCAAAGACAAGUACUGGAAGUUCUUUGUCCACUUAACAAUGAAACUGUCCUUGCUUUUCAUUCAGCUCCUGUUUCUCUAAGGUGCAGUGUGAACAGAAGGGACGCCUGGCAUUCUAGGGUCUCAUGGAAAUACCACCUAAUGCUAUUACACUAUAAUCACAGUAGACCAAGUGAGUACAUUCACAGAAUUUGGGAGUCAAGCACCAUAUUAAAGGUUUGAGGUCUCGAGUGCCUAGCUGGUCCAGGAUCUUAAAAGUGAAUUGAGUUUGGAUCUUUGCUUGGCCUGCAUUACAAUUAUCUUUCCGAGGGUCAGGGGAGACUCACUCUGGGACAUUAGUGUGAAAGUGGCUGCACAUAUAAUGAGUCCUUGUCAGCUAACCUCAUUCCACAUGGAGAGGGUAGGGCUUUUGCUAGGGCUGGAACAAGUGUAAUUCAAAGCAAGCCCUUUAAUCUCUGGUGGAUAUAAUGGCUUUUUGCUGUCACAGUUCCUUCAUCUAAGAAAAUCAUUCUCAACCACUGCUCAGGAAUUUUCUACUUCUCCCAGGGAGCUAUAGUUCGGAUGCUGUUAGAAAACCAGUAGGGGAAAUGAUUUUGGUGCUGUCUUUGGGCAAUAAAAUCAGUCAAGUUCUGGGGAAUCCAAAGGCUAAAGACAUAUAAGAUUUUAGAGAUUGUGAGAAGGGCAUCCUGUUGUAUUUCACUGGAUUUUUGAAGCAUGAAUGUGGGGAAGUCGUCUGAGGGAUUCUUUUACUCCAUCAACAGAGGACUUCACCUCUGGUCACCGAAACGUGUGAUGAUUUCUCCCUCCCCACAGCAAUCAGCAGGGUGCCCUUUAAUCAGUUCAAUUCUGACGUUAUCUACUUGUAUAUAGGAUCAGAUCCCACAGGCUAAAAUCCCAGACCCACAAAACUGCUCCCACACAGGUGUCACUGGCAGGAAUUAGAUUGUCUGUCACCGAUACUUCUGACCAAUCUAUCAUCAGGUUCUCCAAACCCACCUCCUUAGGUUCCAUUCAUUUGCUAGAGCAGUUCAUAGUACUUGGGGUAAAAACCCUUAAUUAUAUUUGUCCAUUUAUUAUGAACUUUAGGGUAUUACAAAGGCUACAAAUCAAGUACUGGAAGGAGCAGCAGAGGGAAGAGAGGUUUGCGGGGAGUCACAUGGGAAGGACAGAGCUUCUGUGUCUCCUCUUGGAACACCCCCCUCUCAGUACCUCCACAGGUUCAGCUGCAUGGUAGCUACCUGAAUCCGGUCUUCUUGGGAUCUUGUGGAGGCUUCCUUGUGUAAGCAUGAUUCAUUACAUCACUGGCCAAUUUAGAGAUCAACUCACCUUUGAUCUGUCACUCCCUAGAGAUUGGAGGAAUCUAUUGAAAAUGUACAGAAGCAAUGUUAAUGGACAGAACCAAAGUGUUGUCCCCCUUUUGACUUGGUGUAUGAUUCUUUUCACUUUGCCAAGGAUUACAAGGAGAUGGAAUACUCAUCUUUCCAAACAGGAGGCAAGGACUCCAUCUGAAGAGAGUGGACUUGGAAGGCUCCUGUAAUCUAGAGAUUUCAAAACCUGGACUCAGUACGUCAACCUGUGAUGUAGGAAGAAUCACACUGGAUAUGGGCAGCUUAUGUUAAAAUGAUAAUCUUUACAUGCUGGGAAUUUUGUAUGCAUGAAUUUGGCACAGUAAAGUGAAUGAUAAAUUGACUUGUGAUUUUAAAUCAAAUGUGUGCUUGAUUUGAAGUUGAAUGCCAUAACAGGAAAUGACUUAACCAUUUUAACACUGAUUAUAAAUUAAGAGAAUUUGUAUUAAAGAGUUUCUU